GCGGCGCGUCUUAAGCAUGCAAGUCGGACGGCAAGGGUAGCAAUACCCCUAGAGUGGCGGACUGGUGAGUAACACGUGGGAACCUUCCCUAUAGUACGGAAUAGCCCAGGGAAACUUGGAGUAAUACCGUAUACGCCCGAGAGGGGAAAGAUUUAUCGCUAUAGGAUGGGCCCGCGUAGGAUUAGCUAGUUGGUGAGGUAAUGGCUCACCAAGGCAACGAUCCUUAGCUGGUUUGAGAGAAUGACCAGCCACACUGGGACUGAGACACGGCCCAGACUCCUACGGGAGGCAGCAGUGGGGAAUCUUGGACAAUGGGCGCAAGCCUGAUCCAGCCAUGCCGCGUGAGUGAUGAAGGCCUUAGGGUUGUAAAGCUCUUUUGCCGGGGACGAUAAUGACGGUACCCGGAGAAUAAGUCCCGGCUAACUUCGUGCCAGCAGCCGCAGUAAAAC
rnacentral:rRNA from 1 species